AACGAUUUGACAGGGAAUAAACAGGACUCUACAACAUUAGGGUUGUCAGCUAGGCUGGGGGUUACCCUAGGGAAGUCUUGUGUUCUCCCCCUUUGAAGCUGUAAAAGUGUCUUAGAGAGAAUGCUCAUCCCAUAAAUAGUGUGAAUUCCCAAUGAGCUGUAUUUGUAUCAAGUAAGAAAUCAAGUGUAUAUCAGAGCUGUUGCCAAAGUCAUGCCUGCUCUCCUCCACUGUUCUCUUCCAGGGGUUUCUUCAACUUCCAUCUUAUAAAGCAAGGUUUUUGUUUUUUUUUUAAUUGCUCACCUAAGUUGACUCCCCGAGUUCAUAUUUCUCAAACAAAAGCCCAGCCCUGAGGGAAGUUACUUUGCCUCACCAUAGCAUAGCUGAUAGAUGUUCAGAAAUGAGCAGUUCUGGGAAUCCACAGGAUAGAUUUUAAUUCUAGUUUAUAACUAGAAGGUAUGAAAAGAAGCACACAGCAUGCACAAAUUGUACUGAUCUUCCAUUGAAGGGCAAAAAGCUUUUAGAAUACUUAUAUUGUAGGUAUGUUUUUUACAAAUAUCUUUUUCCCCUCUUCUUAAGAGGGACGUGCUUAUUUUUAUUUUACAUGUAUGAGUGUUGGUCUACAUGUGUGUAUGUGUACCACCUGUGUUCCUGGUGCCUGUAGAAACUAAAAGGAGGCUGUUAGAUCCCCUGGAACUGGAGUUACAGACAGUUGUGAUCCACUAUGUAGAGUCCGGAAACAGAGUCUGGAUCCUAUGCAAGAACAGCAAGUGCUGUUAACAGAUUUUCCUAUCAGCUCUCUCUAGAUAUAACCUAAAUUCUUCAUGUCUGACCAUCAGUCUCACUAGUGAUUCUGCCUAGAGCUUGGAAGGCAUUCACUACUCUUGGAAAGAAAUCCAUGAGCGAAGAAGAAAGUCUUGAAGUGAUUCUGUCUGCAGUGACUUAAAUAGGAUUUGUGGGGUCUACCAAAGAUACUGAAUGUCCCUCAGCCCUCUCACACCCUGUGCUCCAGCAUUCAGUGUUUGGACAGAGCACCAGUGUCACCAAGGAGCCUGUGUGAGACACACUGCUGAGACUGCCUCUUGUUAACGUCACCAUCACCUCAUCACUUAGGCAAAGAGGGGAAAAUCCAUAAAAGAGGUGGAAAAUGCAUUUCUUUUUUCAUUUUGUUCUACUUUAUUAAAAAGGUUGGGUGUUCUAGUUCUUGGUGUCUCGAAGAUUUUUAAACUUUCUAAUUAGAGAACACUUUUUGAUCCAUCACAGCAGAUCACCAGCUAUGACAAAGCUAAAUCUUGAACUCUCAGCUUCCUGAGCCACUGGACAAAUUGGCCUCUGCGCAAACAUUUCGAAUCGUAAGACUUCUUAUUGCCACUCCAUUCUUACUGCUGCUCAUGACUCAAGCAUCUAUCACAAUCUGAACUGAGAUGUUGACAUUUUGUGGUUACUUUCAGACUAACAGUAACUGUUAUGCUCUCAAAAGCUCUCAGAGAGACUGUAAGCAUGCCCUGCAUAGUUGACUACUUUGCCAUGGUAUUCAAAUAUUAAACCAGGCCGUGAAGUCUAACUUUAAGGAAUUUUAACCAAUCACAUAGAGACUACUUUGGAAAGGAGAUGGCACUUCAAAGACAUGAAACCUUAUAUUACAUGGUCUUGGAUGUUUUUAAGCAUAAUAAGCUACCUGGAUUUCGGUACUUUCCUUUUAAGUUAAAAAUAAUCUGUAUUUCUAAUUGCAUAUUUAAUUUUGUCAACCAACAUUGAGAAAUGUUCAUGAGUUGAAUCUGUAAAUGUAAUUUGCAACCAAAUGAAGUAUUUAUUUUUAAAAAGAAAAGGUGAAGGAACCAAUAUUGACUUGUACAUAAUGAAAAUAUGUGUGUAUAUAUUUUUUCCUUCUUGACACUACUUGAUCAUUAUGUCAAGUGUAUUUUUGUACAUAAUAUAUAUUGGUUAGAAAAAUUUAGAUUGUCUAUUGAAAGAAAUUCUAUCUCUGUGAUAGAUUAUAUUUAUCCUAAUCUAUUGAUAUUCAGUUGAUUUGUUUUAAGAGACAGAACACUAUUUUUUUGAAUUUCCAGAUAAUUGCAUUGACUGCACUACUUGUGAAUACAUUAAUGGUAUUUUAAUAAAUCUUAGUUUCAUGUCCAUCUGGUGUGUGAUGGAGAUUUUUUCCAUAGCCAUUUGAUGUGGUCAUUUCUAACUUGUGUUACUGCCCAUUUCUAGUAAUUCUACUGGAAGUAGAGUUGCAAGAUCUAGGUCUCAGUAAGUCCAUCAUAUAGCAUCUUUCUCUAGGAAAGAUGACUAGGAGGACAUCCACCUAGUCAACAAUGGGCAAUCCAACAAGGGCUUAUCCAAAACAGCUGCACUAGAACAUAAAUUUCUGAAGGAGGGCACACACAGGGAUUGGUGACUUCAAGUUACAAGUGGAAAACUAUAUACUAGGGAAAUGUAACAGAAUAUAAUUACAUGUGUUCUGGCAUCAAGAAAAGGUACAAGGUUUUUGUUUGUUCAGGCAAUGAUAUGAAGUAUAGCAAUAUUUUAUAAGUAACAUAAAAUCCCACAGUUUAAAUAAAAAACAUUUCUACAGAAAUUGAAAAUGUUUCUGAUCAACUCAUUUGUUCAGUGUUACAGUUUUUAUAUGUUUGUCAGACAAUGCCACUUUAU
ensembl:lncRNA